rnacentral:rRNA from 1 species
AGUGAACGCUGGCGGUAGGCCUAACACAUGCAAGUCGAACGGCAGCACAGUAAGAGCUUGCUCUUACGGGUGGCGAGUGGCGGACGGGUGAGGAAUACAUCGGAAUCUACUUUUUCGUGGGGGAUAACGUAGGGAAACUUACGCUAAUACCGCAUACGACCUACGGGUGAAAGCAGGGGAUCUUCGGACCUUGCGCGAUUGAAUGAGCCGAUGUCGGAUUAGCUAGUUGGCGGGGUAAAGGCCCACCAAGGCGACGAUCCGUAGCUGGUCUGAGAGGAUGAUCAGCCACACUGGAACUGAGACACGGUCCAGACUCCUACGGGAGGCAGCAGUGGGGAAUAUUGGACAAUGGGCGCAAGCCUGAUCCAGCCAUGCCGCGUGGGUGAAGAAGGCCUUCGGGUUGUAAAGCCCUCUUGGUGGGAAAGAAAAGCAGCAGGUUAAUACCUCGCUGUACUGACGGUACCCAAAGAAUAAGCACCGGCUAACUUCGUG